CUGGAUUCAGCUGAGCCCACAUAAUGCAAGCUGAGAUUACUCAUGGGACUGCCAUCAGCUGGGAGCUCAUCAAAGUAGCCUCUAGGGCCUCCCUUUCCACGUGGCUUAUCAUAAUCAAGCUCCUGCAGGAUAACCAGCUGCCAAGAGGACAUGGCCCCAGUGAACAAGUGCUCAUUAAGCCUUUGCCAAUGGGAAAGGCUGUACAAGGGCAACAAUGUGCGGGAGUUAAGCAGCAGCCCUCCAAAGCGUGGACUCUUGAUUUCCACCGUCACCUUGCCUCCCUGUCAUCUUCUGUCUGCGAGCUUCACUCAGGCAAACUGCGUGCCCGACCCCCGUAGAUAUUUGAAUUCGAAAUCCUUAGCACUGGAACUGUAGUGCAGAUAACUCAAGGUUUCUUCCCUUUAUUAAAGCCAUAUCCCUCCUUAAGGGAGGGAUAAUGUUACUGGGUCAAA